CCUUGAGGAAAUAAGUAUAUAAAUGUUUAACUUACUGUAGACAUCUCGUUCUCGUGAAUUUCUUUCUGCUUUAGCUGUGCGAGUUGUACGUGCAAUUUUGUCAAAACCGUUGACAUCGCACUCCUAAAAUGACUCAAAACAGCAUCUGAGUGGAUGAAGUAAAUACAGCAUUUGUCUUCUACCGCUGUGGAUUAAACCCGCACUGUAUGAGGCAGCGAAACACCUGUGCAGCUAAUGAUUGUGCGACGGUUGGCGUGUAGGGGUCUCGCCUCUCAUCUUUGCCUGGCAGUAAGAUCGACCUGGAGAGCUCCUGAGAUGGCCAGACCAUGCUCUGAUUUGACAAAGUUUCGGGAGGAUUUUGCUAAAGCAAAGCACAUUGCUAUUAUUACUGGAGCUGGAGUGAGUGCAGAGAGUGGAGUACCAACCUUCAGAGGUCAGGGAGGAUACUGGAGAAAAUGGCAGUCACAGGAUUUGGCAACGCCUACAGCAUUCUCUCGGGAUCCGUCUUUAGUAUGGGAGUUCUACCAUUACAGACGUGAGGUAAUGGCCAGCAAAAUGCCUAACCCAGCACACCUGGCUAUAGCAGAGUGUGAGUCCCGUCUUCGCCAGCAGGGGCGCUCUGUUGUGGUCAUCACUCAGAACAUUGAUGAGUUGCACCAUAGUGCUGGAUCCAAAAAUGUCUAUGAGAUCCACGGUAGUUUAUUUAAAACUCGUUGCAUGAGUUGUGGAGAAGUCAAGGCGAACCACAAGAGUCCGAUCUGUCCUGCUCUGGAGGGAAAAGGAGAGCCUGACCCCAGUGCUAAGGACGCCAGAAUUCCAGUGGAGGAACUGCCCAGAUGUGAGAGGAAGAGCUGUAAUGGCUUACUGAGACCUCAUGUGGUUUGGUUUGGAGAGACCCUGGAUGCUGAUAUUCUCACCGGCGUGGAGCAGGAGCUGGACAAGUGUGAUCUCUGCUUAGUAGUGGGCACCUCCUCCAUAGUUUACCCAGCGGCCAUGUUCGCUCCUCAGGUGGCAGCGAGAGGAGUGCCUGUAGCUGAAUUUAACACGGAUAGCACUCCUGCUACUAAAAGCUUUAUGUAAGAUAUACAGACACACACACUUUGCCUUCAUAUUAGUCACAUGAGGACAUCUCUCACGCAAAAUCAGGUAUCACUUUAAAGGUCCAUGUGGCAUCACACUGCCUCCUGCCCUGGCACCCCAUGAAACCGAGAUCAUUUAGGAAGCCAUGAACACCCACUGCAUUGAGCACUUUAACUGAACUUGAACAUGCUUUGUGAUUGGUUAAUGCUUUCAUGUGAUUGGUAUUUCCCUUUAAAAUUGACACUUUGUGUCUUCUGGUUGAAAUGAUGUUUUUUGAAAUUUGGCAGAAUUACACAGAAUUAAAUUUUA